UUUUUUGUUGGAUGAUCUCCUGUUAUUAUCUGCUUGAGUGUAAUUUUUUUUCAUUUUUUUGCAAAUGCAAUAUUUGGUUUUGGCUUGUGGUUGCCCUGUUUUUUAAGUAUGCUAACCCCUUCCCAUAAUUGUGUGUUUUAGCCUGAUGGUCCUGUAAGUUCAAACACUUCAUUACUAUAUUAAAAUUAAGAAGAGAAACAUACAAACAAACAAAAAGGGUUAUUUACUUCCUAACAUCCCUUGCCCACAUUUUAUGGUUUUGAUGACUCUUUUUUAUUUUUUUCUUUUUAAUUUUAUUUUGUUUGAAGCAUGUUCAUGAUUAAAUCUGUAUGCUGGCUUAUUUGAGUGACUGCUCUCUGAUUGCGGUUUCCUCAGUCCUAGUUCUUCCUCUUCUUCUUCUUCUUUUUUUUUUUUUUUUUUUUUCUUUUUUCUUCCCUUUCCUUCCUUUCUUUUUGGUUUAGAGAAGCCCUUUCAAUAUUUCCUUUAACCUGGGUUUUGUGUUGCUGUAUUCUUUAAGUUUUUGUUUGUUGGGAAAAAUUUUUAUUUCCCCUUCUAUUUUAAAUGAUAUUCUUGCUGGAUAGAGUAUUCUAGGUUGCAUAUUUUUUCCUUUGAGCACUUUAAAUAUCUCUUGCCAUUCCCUCCUGGCCUGUAGUGUUUCUGUAGAGAAAUCAGCUGAUAUUCUUAUGGGGGUUCCCUUGUAGGUAACAUUCUGUUUUUCUCUUGCUGCCUUUAGGAUCCUCUCUUUAUCACUAACUUUUGCCAUUUUUAUUAUGAUGUGUCUUGGUGUGGGUCUGUUUGGGUUCAGUUUGUUUGGGGCCCUCUGUGCUUCUUGUAUCUUGAAUCCAGUAUCCUUUAGAUUUGGGAAGUUUCCAGCGAUAAUUUCUUCAAAUAUAUUUUCCAUUCCCUUAUCUUUUUCUACUCCUUCUGGAAUUCCUAUUAUGCGUAGAUUGGCCCGCUUUAUAUUAUCCCAUAGGUCUCUUAUAUUGCUUUCCAGUUUUUUGAUUCGGUUUUCUGUCUGUUGACCAGAUUGAGUGAUUUCCAUUAUUCUAUCUUCCAUAUCACUGAUUCGUUCUUCUGCAUUAUUCAUUCUGGUUUUUACUGCCCCUAGUUCAGUUUGCAUCUCUGCAAAUGAAUGUUCUAGUUUUUCUUGGCUCCUCCUUAUAUUUUCUAGUUCCUUUCUGAGGGUAUCUGCAUUACUGUUCAUAUCUUCUCUUAAUUCCUUCAGUAUUUUCACUAUUUCUCUUUUGAACUCCAGGUCUGUCUGACUGCAGAGAUCUGUUUCAUUGUUGACUGUUUUAGGUGAGUUCUCCUGUUGGUUUGACUGGGGGUGGUUUCUCAGCUUCUUCAUCUUGCUUGUUGUUUUCUUUCUCCUGAGGGAGUUGUACUCUCCGUUAUCGGGCAGUGUUUGCCUUGUCACUGCCGUGGAAUAUUUCCUGAGGGCUGGCGUUGUUGGUCAAUCUUUUUUGAGGCAGUGUGGCUUUUCUGGAGUGUUGAUGGGGCUAACAGUGUUUCUUUGAAGCAAAGGAGGACUUCCUGAGGGCAGACAGGACUGGGAGGUCCACACCACGAUGGUAGCAGAUUUCACUUGGUCAUGCAGAGCUUGCUCUGGUGUUUUUAGGCUGUGGGGUUCUUGCAGGGGGUUGGCGGUGUUGGGCAGCUGCUCCUCAGGAGUGCAGCACCCCCUGGGGGCUGGAGCAGCUAUCUGGGUCACUGAGAACCUAAGAGGCUCUUCCCUAGGGCAGCCCAACUCAGAAGGACAGCCUGAGAAUGUAGGCGGAUCUUUUCACAGUCUGGCCGAGCUUGUUGCAGCUUUUCUGGGCUGCAGGGGCUCUUCUAGGGGGCUGGUGGUGCUGAGCAGCUAUUCCGUGGGAUGCACCCCCUGGGGGCUUGGGCGGGUAGCAGGGCUGUCGGAGACCCAAGAGGCUCCUCCCCAGGGCAGCCUGACUCAGAAAAACCAUCUGAGAUCUUUUCCCGACUCAACCAGGCUUGUUGCAGCUUU
rnacentral:lncRNA from 1 species